rfam:Gordonia malaquae NBRC 108250 DNA, contig: GM1020.
GCUGUCGAGCGUCGACGUGGUGCCGCCCAGGCGUCGUCACGAAGAGGGAAUCCGGUGAGAAACCGGAGCUGUCCCGCAGCGGUAUGUCGGAACGACCGCCGUCACACGCACUGGGCCCGUGAACAUCCGGGUCUGGGAAGCGACGGCCAGUAGGUGCGCUCACGCGCCCGCCGACGAGCCCGAAGACCUGCCGGUUGUACUGGGCGCGC